GUUUGCCCCAGGUGACAUUUAAAAUGUAGAUAUCAUUGAAAAAGCUCCAAAUUAUCUCCCUUUGGUGCAAACAUGCCAUUUUUUGGCAUUACAAUUGAAAUAUCUUUUUUUAACUCAUCGGUGACCUAUACUUUUUAUUGUUGUUUUCGAAUAAGCUGUACAUACACUAAAUAAUUGUAAAAUUUAAGCGAUUUCUGUAAUUUAGUUCUUUUUUUUUU
rnacentral:lncRNA from 1 species